GCGCUUGCUUUGGCAGCACAUACACUAAAAUUGGAACAAUAUAGAGAAGAUCAGCAUGGCCCCUGGGCAAGGACGACACACAAGUUCGUGAAGUGUUCCAUAUUUUU
ensembl:snRNA U6 U6 spliceosomal RNA